rnacentral:RNase_P_RNA from 1 species
GGUGACCGGGGGCUCGUCGCAUGUCGACUUCGAGAGCGACAUGAGGAAAGUCCGGGCAACACAGAGCGCUCCACCGGGUAACGCCCGGCGGGACUAUGUAAAUAGUCUCAGAGUAGUGUGACAGAAAAUAACCGCCUUGUUUGAGGUGAAUGGGUAAGGGUGAAAAGGUGGUGUAAGAGACCACCGGGCGGCCGGGUAACCGGUCGUGCCGCACACCUUGGAGGUUGCAAGGUCAAGUAUACCGGCGCUAUAGGGCUGCUCGUCCGAUUGCCGGAGGGUAGACUGCUCGAGCCAUUGGAGGAGACUCCUGGUCCAGAUAAAUGACGGGCGCACUUGACAAUCGGUUCUCCGAUUUUGAAAGUGGCACAUAACCCGGCUUAUACCCGGUCACCGUUC